GAGUUUGAUCCUGGCUCAGGACGAACGCUGGCGGCGUGCUUAACACAUGCAAGUCGAGCGGUAAGGCCUCUUUGGGGGUACACGAGCGGCGAACGGGUGAGUAACACGUGGGUGACCUGCCCCCUACUCUGGGAUAAGCCUGGGAAACUGGGUCUAAUACCGGAUAUGACUCCUGGUUUCAUGGCUGGGGGUGGAAAGCUUUUGUGGUGGGGGAUGGGCCCGCGGCCUAUCAGCUUGUUGGUGGGGUGGUGGCCUACCAAGGCUUCGACGGGUAGCCGGCCUGAGAGGGCGUCCGGCCACACUGGGACUGAGACACGGCCCAGACUCCUACGGGAGGCAGCAGUGGGGAAUAUUGCGCAAUGGGCGGAAGCCUGACGCAGCGACGCCGCGUGGGGGAUGACGGCCUCGGUUGUAACCGUACUUUCGUACUUCGUACGAAGACC
rnacentral:rRNA from 1 species